AACGAACGCUGGCGGCAGGCUUAACACAUGCAAGUCGAGCGCGUAGCAAUACGAGUGGCAGACGGGUGAGUAACGCGUGGGAACAUACCCUUUCCUGCGGAAUAGCUCCGGGAAACUGGAAUUAAUACCGCAUACGCCCUACGGGGGAAAGAUUUAUCGGGGAAGGAUUGGCCCGCGUUGGAUUAGCUAGUUGGUGGGGUAAAGGCCUACCAAGGCGACGAUCCAUAGCUGGUCUGAGAGGAUGAUCAGCCACAUUGGGACUGAGACACGGCCCAAACUCCUACGGGAGGCAGCAGUGGGGAAUAUUGGACAAUGGGCGCAAGCCUGAUCCAGCCAUGCCGCGUGAGUGAUGAAGGCCUUAGGGUUGUAAAGCUCUUUCACCGAUGAAGAUAAUGACGGUAGUCGGAGAAGAAGCCCCGGCUAACUUCGUGCCAGCCGCCGCAGUAA
rnacentral:rRNA from 1 species